UGAGGAAUAUUGGUCAAUGGUCGGAAGACUGAACCAGCCAAGUAGCGUGAAGGAUGAAGGUUCUAUGGAUUGUAAACUUCUUUUAUACGGGAAUAAAACCUCCCACGUGUGGGAGCUUGUAUGUACCGUAUGAAUAAGCAUCGGCUAACUCCGUGCCAGCAGCCGCGGUAAUACGGAGGAUGCGAGCGUUAUCCGGAUUUAUUGGGUUUAAAGGGAGCGUAGACGGGAUGUUAAGUCAGUUGUGAAAGGCUGCGGCUCAACCGCAGCACUGCAGUUGAUACUGGCGUCCUUGAGUGCGGUUGAGGUAUGUGGAAUUCGUGGUGUAGCGGUGAAAUGCUUAGAUAUCACGAAGAACUCCGAUUGCGAAGGCAGCAUACUAAGCCGCUACUGACGUUGAGGCUCGAAAGUGUGGGUAUCAAACAGG
rnacentral:rRNA from 2 species